rnacentral:rRNA from 1 species
CAGUCGCCACGGGAAUACAGAGGGUGCGAGCGUUAAUCGGAUUUACUGGGCGUAAAGCGUGCGUAGGCGGCUUUUUAAGUCGGAUGUGAAAUCCCUGAGCUUAACUUAGGAAUUGCAUUCGAUACUGGGAAGCUAGAGUAUGGGAGAGGAUGGUAGAAUUCCAGGUGUAGCGGUGAAAUGCGUAGAGAUCUGGAGGAAUACCGAUGGCGAAGGCAGCCAUCUGGCCUAAUACUGACGCUGAGGUACGAAAGCAUGGGGAGCAAACAGGAUUAGAUACCCCCUGUAGUCCCUGUCUCUUAUA